rnacentral:rRNA from 1 species
ACGUAGGGGGCGAGCGUUGUCCGAAGUUACUGGGCGUAAAGCGCGCGUAGGCGGUUGUUUAAGUUAGAUGUGAAAUCCCGCGGCCCAACUGCGGAACUGCAUCUGAAACUGGGCGACUUGAGGACGGAAGAGGGCAGUGGAAUUCCUGGUGUAGCGGUGAAAUGCGUAGAUAUCAGGAGGAACACCGGUGGCGAAGGCGGCUGCCUGGUCCGUAUCUGACGCUGAGGUGCGAAAGCUAGGGUAGCGAACGG